rnacentral:rRNA from 1 species
UACAGAGGGUGCGAGCGUUGUUCGGAAUUAUUGGGCGUAAAGCGCAUGUAGGCGGUCUGUUAAGUCGCGUGUGAAAGCUCCAGGCUCAACCUGGAAAGUGCGCGCGAAACUGGCGGACUUGAGUACCGGAGAGGGUGGCGGAAUUCCCGGUGUAGAGGUGAAAUUCGUAGAUAUCGGGAGGAACACCAGAGGCGAAGGCGGCCACCUGGACGGAAACUGACGCUGAGAAGCGAAAGCACGGGGAGCAAACAGG